UAUAUUUAUAUAUAUUUUUAAAGUACUCAUUGGGAGCAAAUAUGUCAAAACGGUCAGAUAUUCAUAUCUUUCUAGGGACAUUUUAUGGGGACAUUUAGUCCCCAUCAGGAUACAAAAACAUGCCCCCACACACUGACACACUCACAGGUCAACGAGAGCCUCUUAAAAUGGUGGUAAAGGCGUAGCAGGCAUAAUUGGCCGUAAGCAUUCUACGUCGGGUGUAACGUGCUCUGACAUUGUCAUCGACACAGCGUGACCCCCGUCACAGCAGGACGGCCUGGCAGCUCACUGCGCCGAGGAUCACACCAGCACUCCUCGAACCUCUCCCGCCGCUCUCGUACACAGUCACGGCUUAUCGGAAGGCGGGAAACAUCCGACCGGAGCCUCUCGGUAAAACGCGCGUCAGUAAAUUCAGCGCACUGUUCAGAAAGUCGAUCGUUCGUUACAGACGACUGCAUUGUUUCUCUGGUCUCGAUGGCCCGGUAGUGGUACUAACAGCUUCAAGACCGCUGCCUUUUAUUGCUGGUGCAGAAUCUUCGCUGGAGUAAGACAGAUGUUCGUCGUCAUGAUGAGGGUAAGCACAGGCUGUAGUCCUGUUGGGUCAGCAAUCUAUCUGGCGCAAGGCAAAAGGCGUGAAAGUCACGGUUGGGUCCGGCUGCGACCUCGGACGCUACAAGUCCGGUGUGGAACCCAAAAGGUGUCUGGAGUGAGCGUUGACGGAGAUAUUGAAAGAAAAGGUUCAUCUGGAGCUUCUGAGUCAGCAAGAUUUUUCCAUGCUACUCAUGUACAGGAAAGAUUUAUUCAUAUAUAUAUAUAAAAAUAUAAAAUGCAGUAUUUUUGUGAAAUUGAAAAAGUGCUCAUUUUGUGUACAGACAUGAAGAGAUAUCAUUAUCAGUCUAAUUAGGUUUCGUUAUAAGGACUGGAGUCCAUUUGCUGGAUUUAUGAAGCGAACAUAUGGCACGGUUGUAAUAUUAAUGAUACUCCAAACACAUUCCCGUUCCACUGCAGAAAGAGGGGUUUUUAUCCGGAUCAACUUGCGGCUCUAUAAAAUCAUAAGUGGCUUUUCCAGGUCAUCGCUUCCGAAACUCCUCAGCUAGAAUGAUAGCUGUGAACCUUUUGGCUGCGGCUUUAAUCUAGAUUAUUUAUUUAUUUAUUAUUUUAAAACGGCCAUAAACGGAACGUGAAAAGCCUAUUACACGGCGCGUCCUAGGCGUUCACAAACUGGCGAGUAUGUGACAGAUGUGUUUUAUGAGCGUGUCCGUUGGGCCCAAGGCAACAGCGGAACUCGGCCAUGGAGCCCUCCCUGGCCUGACACAUACACAUCACUCGAUUUGAUUAAGGACGAGCGGAUGGAUGAUGUGAUCAGAUAUCCUACACUGCACUGUCAUCAUUACCGAAAGCUGCACCGGACAGUUCCACGUACUGUCGUGCCAAAAUCUUGGAUACGAGCCGGCAACCUCAUAGCUGUUAAAUAACCUUGUUGUUAUUGCGCUACCGAUCAUGUCGAACAGAUACGCUCUUAGGGGAAAAAAGGCUGCGUCUACAACCGUAACGUGUUCUCUGGUUUGUCUCACUCUCGAGCCCUUAAAAGUUCUACGUAGAAUCCUACAACAGGGGAUCUUCGUUCAGAAUAGGAGCAAUGUAGAAACCCUUUUAAAAGAAAAAUGGCUUAUAAAGAGUUUUUGUUUUUUUUAAAAAAAGUUUGAUGGUUCUAGCUUUCUGAAGCAGUGACACAACCCGAUUAAGACGAUACUCGGAUUAAGAAACUAUCAUGUAAACAGCGAUUAUUGAUGAUCCUUAAUCCGAUUAAAGUCGUACUCGAAGUAAACACAGAUGGAAUUAAGACGUGUGGAGUAUUUCCUGUUUUAGUCGCAUUAUCGGCGUGCGUUACAGACGUGUACACACCUUAAUCACACUAUUAACGCCGUGUGAGAGUUUUCACCGCAUUGUGCGACAGGACACGUACACACACGGCAGCGCUCGACCGUUUGACGGCAAACAAGAGAGCACGGCUGCGUCCCAAACCGCGUACGUACCUGCUACAGUAUAUAGUAGGUGUAAUACAUGCAUCUCAGCUACUAUAUAGUAGGUACGUACGCGGUUUGGGACGCGGCCCACGGCUUCAAGCAGUCGUCUAUUUGCACGUACGGCACGACAGAUAAUUAACCGCACUUGAAGCUUUCGUAAAAUUAAAACUGAAACACCCGAGACUGUAUACGGUCCCAUAACGAAGACCGACCGUACGUCGAUACGUGAAAUUCUGGAGGGGACGUCGGACGGCGUGACGCGGGGACGUAAUGACGUGUGACGUUAAUCCAUCUACGUUCUAUAACACGUAAAACCUGAACGUGAAAGGAGUAUUCUAAAAGCCACUCAUGUAAACACCUUAAUCAGAAUACUGUCUUAUUCAGAAUAAGGUCAGUGAUUACAUCACUGCUGUCCGUGUAAACGUAGUCAGUGUUCCACUACUCACAGUUCUUUCAAUGGCCAAUACCACUAUGUUAGCUAGCAAACUACUUACAUAUGCUACUUAUUCAGGAAAGGGAAAUAAAAUGAGUCACCUAAAAUUCUGAAAAGUCUAGCCAGCAUUUAUCCUCAUUUAAUCAUUAUGGGUCUAUAGUUUUAAAGAAAGUUAUAGAAGGCUGUAUGUAACGACUCGAAUUAAUACGCAAUUCAGCGGCUAAUACUAUACUUCCAAAAAAAAAAAAAAAAAAAAAAAAAAGUUUACAUACCGCAGCUUUAAAGCUUUAAUUAUGAACCUACUGUAGUUCUGUGUUUAGUGUUUCCCUCUCUGUCCCUGUCUUUUAAACCUGUUUCACGGUCUAGCUUCUAUUUUACUUAUUUAAUUUUUUUGGGUGGUAACUCAGCACUAUUAUAAACCAUCUCUCUCUUGUGUUUUCUGAGAUUUAAAUAAAUUCAAUUAGAUUAACUGAAAACAUUUGACUACGGGCCUCAGAUGGAAUAUGCUUUGCCUAUGAUUACAGUCGAGUGAUUCUUUAGUAAUGGAACGGGUCUCAUUAAUCAUCACUAACGUUCUGUAGUGCAGAAAAGGAGAGAAACUGCAGGGGCGCUGAGGUAACGCUCAGGCAACGACACUGCGUAAACCGUAAACACCAGCUUACAACGUGUGACAGACCCGUCAUGUUCUCACACUCGCUAAGAAAAACAAAUCUGGACCAUUUACAUUAGUCUG
ensembl:lncRNA